GUCCACACUCAACCAGGAAGCUGCAGUGUCCUCUCUGGAGUGGUUUGGAAGGUGAAGAGGCAGAAAUGUCAAUUAAAGAGAGGACACGAAAAUACAGGGAAAGACUCAAUGCUGAAUAUGCAAGGAGAGAGGAGGUCCUGAGGGAAAGGAGGAAAAAGUAUAAAGAGAAGAAACGAAGAGGACAACUCAAGGCAUUCAGUGUGCACACCCUUCUUCCUUCAAGACAAGAGAAAAUGAAAGAGAUGUGGAGAGAAGCACAAAAGAAAUACAGAAAAAGAAAAAAAGAAGUGAAUGCC